GCUAUAAACAAGUGGAAAGGCUAUUAACAGCGUAUAACCUGAUGCUGCUGUACCAAUAAUGGGAGGAGACUUUGCAUCAGCAAGGGACAUCAGAGCGAUGUUUUACUGUCUCCGUGCACCCGAGCAUCCGUUUGGCAGCAGGAAGGGAAAUGCCAUUGAAAUCCCUGUCAGAGGGAGGGAGAAGAAAUAUGUUGUCGUGGAAGGUGGAAGGUGAAGGAGGGUGGGAUGGGAAAGGGGGAAUGGUUGUUUUCAGGUGCUGUCCCUAUGGUGUGCAUGCUCAAACAGAAACCCUGAGUCGGAGAGUGGGCAGAGGCUGUGGAGGAGGUGCUUCCCUGCGUGAAGAACAGAGGUGGCUCCAGUGCUGGGAUUCCUCCUGCUGAGAAGUGAAAAGCCUUGAGCAGAUUGGAUCAUGCAUUAUUUUUACCCUUGCAAAUAGUUCCCAGACACACGGAGCUCAAGCUGUGGAAAAUGCACAAUGUAAGACCUCAGCAUGUACCCGCUUUUGAAAUGCCAACUGGGGAGCUGAGACUGGACCAUUCAUCUCAUGGAUAAAGCCUCGAUGGGGCCCCAGCUGGGACCACGUCACCUCGAGGUGUCUUGGCAGAAGCAUGACCCCACUUCUCCCAAGCAUCACCCUCUCCGGAUCGCUUGAGUGGGAAGAUGCAUGCACCUUGGUUCCUUUGAGUUGAAUUUCAGAUUUCUGAGGAAACCUGGCUUCCUGACAACUUGGCUUCAUCUGCUUAUUAUAUGUAACACAUAACCUCCUUAAUAUUACACAUGAGACGCUCCCCAGUAAUUUUAAUCAAAGGCUCAAGCAUCACUUAUCUGAAGACUAAUGACUCAACUCAAUGAGAGGAGAAACUUUGAAGAGGGAGCAGUUGAGCUGGGAGGAGC